rnacentral:lncRNA from 1 species
ACCUUGCUUGGGCUGAUUGAGGACUGAGUGGAAGCUAAAGCAGGACCUGGAGCAGGGAUUGGAGUAGGAGAGGGCUCGGUUGCUAAUCUCUUUCUGCGCACACUGUCUUCCAACCCGCAAAUAGAUUUUCUCCUCUAUAGAAGCUUCAUUUUAGGAGCCAUUUGCACAAGAAGGACUUGUAUGGAGCUUUGGAGACUAAAUGUGAGG